CGGCAACAGCUCAAAUUUGAAAUCUGGCUCUCGGGCCCGAAUUGUAAUUUGCAGAGGAUGCUUCGGCACGGACCUUGGUCUAAGUUCCUUGGAACAGGACGUCACAGAGGGUGAGAAUCCCGUACGUGGCCGUGGUCUUCGCCAUGUGAAGCUCCUUCGAC
rnacentral:rRNA from 1 species